AUCUUUGGCCGGAGCUGCAGCAUUCUGUCCAUGAACUCUGAAGGGCUUGCUGUCCGCCAGCCCGUGCAGAGAGAAUAGCCUGCUGGUCCUUUCAGUCUGACAGUUCAAAGGUUUUGAGGAAGUGAUCCUUGAUCACUGCGAUCAAACUCUGUGGUUUCCUUG